rnacentral:rRNA from 1 species
UGGGGAAUAUUGGACAAUGGGGGAAACCCUGAUCCAGCAAUGCCGCGUGUGUGAAGAAGGCCUUCGGGUUGUAAAGCACUUUUAGCAGGAAAGAAAGGCCGUGCGCUAAUACCGUACGGUUUUGACGUUACUUGCAGAAAAAGCACCGGCUAACUCCGUGCCAGCAGCCGCGGUAAUACGGAGGGUGCAAGCGUUAAUCGGAUUUACUGGGCGUAAAGGGCGCGUAGGCGGCGCGGUAAGUCACUUGUGAAAUCUCUGAGCUUAACUCAGAACGGCCAAGUGAUACUGCUGUGCGAGAGUGCGGAAGAGGCAACCGGAAUUCUUGGUGUAGCGGUGAAAUGCGUAGAUAGCAAGAGGAACACCUGAGGCGAAGGCGGGUUGCUGGGCCGACACUGACGCUGAUGCGCGAAAGCCAGGGGAGCAAA